AGUGCUUGAAGUCGCAGACUAUAUACUAAAAUUGGAACAAGACAAAGAUUAGUCUGGCCUAUGGGCAGGAUAGCGUACAAAUUGGAGCAGUGCUCUAUGUUUUU
rnacentral:snRNA from 1 species